rnacentral:lncRNA from 1 species
UCUGCAGAGACCUAUGUGCUGCUGGUGCUCGCUACCCGCGUGAAUAUAGGAAUGAAGAAGGUCACUAUUAGGAAGGGGAGAAUAUCACAUGAUGUGCAGAAAGAAGGUCGGAGUCCAGAAUGAUGUAUGUGAUCUUUGUGCUGUUUUUGGGGGUGCAUUUCCACAUGGGGAUGUGAUCUCACUUCAUCUUCCUCUGCGUGUGGUGGACGCCAUGGCGAGCUCGCCGGAUCCCUGCACAAAAAUGUUGCAGUUCAAAAGAAAUUAGGAUACAAGUUCAAGGGCCAUGGUGAGUUAGAAUUUUGUGUUAGGUUUCUGUUCAUUUUCAACCUAGCGUGCCUUCUUGCCACAUCUAAUAGAAGAUUCCAAUUUUCUGAACAUGUAGCAUUUGUUUCUUGGGAGGUUGUCAGGUUUCAUGAACAUGAAUCUUCUGUCGCAUGUGUUUAGCAGUUACCUGGGGUUACUCAGCUCCUUCUGUCGGUUCACAAAAACACAUAUCUUGCUUUCAUCCAACUUGGCAAGAAGUUGUUGCUUUUGUAAGGUUGCCUAGGAAAAGCUAUUUGUCUCUGAAUGCUAGCAGCAGCAGGCUGCACCACCCGACGAUGGAGUCGAACAAGCAGAAGUAGAUCGUGAACGAACCCGUGGAGGUGGAGAGG